ACUUUGAUUUUCUUGAUUUGGUAAAUACUAUCAGUCAAGUGCUAGGACGGUGAGGAAAGAUAAGCCACGUGGGCGUCAUCAUGGUCUCACUCAACAGAAGAGGCAAGAGAUAAAGGAAGCUUUUGAACUGUUUGACACUGAUGGCUCAGGAACUAUUGAUGCUAAGGAGUUGAAUGUUGCUAUGAGGGCUCUGGGUUUUGAGAUGACCGAAGAGGUAUAAAAUCUGUCAUUUUGUUGGUUUUUUGUUGAUUACGAUUGAAAUAUUUCUUCUCUGAAUACUUGCAAAAAGAUAACCUAUGUUCCUUCCACUAUUCUUUUUCUUCUCUGGGUUCUAAGACACUCAGACAAGGGUGUGGCCUCCUUAACUGACACUUCAAUAUUUACCCAGAGUCUCAU